UGCAGAUCCAAGCAAAACUUGCAAGAUGUUGCUACUCCACGUCAUUACUCUGGCUUUUGUUUUGUCUUAUGGAUGUGGACAAAUGCAUCUGAGACAAGCUCAGUUAUCCAUUACCAGGGCAGAAACUAAAACCACACGUAUAGUCUAUGAGGCUUCUGGCAUUCAGAACUUCGGGAGUGCUAUUAUACACUGGUAUCGACACAGACCUGGAGAAGCUCCGGAGUGGAUUCUGUACAUCUCAACCAUAAAAGUUGAAUUUGACAAAGAUACCGAUAAGAAGAAGUUUGACUGUGAAAAGAAGCCUGACCAGCCCAUCUCUACCCUAGUAGUAAAUGCAAUAACUCCUAACGACCAAGCUAUCUAUUAUUGCGCUUUUUGGGAUGGCACAGUGUUAGAAAGCUGUAGACAUCCUGUACGAAAACCUCAUUCUGAAUAGUGAUCCCUGGUCUACACUACAGGGUUAGGUCAAAUUUAGCUGUGUUAAGUCUAUUUAAAAAUGACUGUCCACACAACAAACCCCAUUCCGUCAACCUAAAGUGCUCUUAAAAUUGACUUCUGUAACCCUCCCCGAUGAGAGGAGCAGUGCUAGAAUCGACCUUGCUGGGUUGAAUUUGGGAUAGUGCAAAUGCAAAUCGAAGGUAUUGGUCUCCAGGAGCUAUCCCAGAAUGCUCCAUUGUGACCGCUCUGGACAGCACUUUGAACUCUGAUGCACUAGCCAGGUACCCAAGAAAAGCCCCUGGAACUUUUGAAUUUCAUUUCCUGUUUGGUCAGUGUGGCAAACUCAGCAGCACAGGUGACCAUGCAGUCUCUCCAGAAUCGUAGAGUGUAGAAUGUUUGUACUCUCCCCCUAUCAUCUUCAUCCCUGAGGUUAUCGCAGAUUAAAAGGUGAAAAAACACACUCGCGAUGACAUGUUUUCUGAGCUCAUGCAGUCCUCCCACACUGAUAGGGCACAGCUUAAUGCAUGGAGGCUUUCAGUGGCAGAGGCCAGGAAAGAAUUAAGUUAGCACGAAAAGCGGAGGCAGGAAGCGAUGCUAAGGCUAAUGGGGGAGCAAAUGGACACGAUGAAGCAUCUGUUGGAGCUGCAGGAAAGCCAACAAGAGCACAGACACCCACUGUGUCCACUGUAUAACUGCCCACCCUCCUCCCCAUGUUCCAUAGCCUCCUCACCCAGACGUCCAAGAAGGCGGAGGGGGGGGGCGGGGCAGGCUCCAGGCACCCAGCCACUCCACUCCACAGGAUGGCCCAAGCAACAGAAGGCUGUCAUUCAAACAGUUUGAUUUUUAGUGAGGCUACAAUAAGCAAUGUGGUCUUGUCCUUCCCUCCUC